rfam:Capsicum annuum cultivar Zunla-1 chromosome 5, whole genome shotgun sequence
UGAUGAUGAUAAGGAUAAUUUUUUAGCAUGCCUUUGAAUUUCUCCCAAGCUUGAUUGAUAUUUUCUCCAUCUUUCUAUAUAAAACUCAAGAUUUUACUCCUCAAUUA